UGCGGGGUAGAGCAGCCUGGUAGCUCGUCGGGCUCAUAACCCGGAGGUCGUGGGUUCGAAUCCCACCCCCGCUA
rnacentral:tRNA from 2 species